rnacentral:lncRNA from 1 species
UAGGAAGUCUGGACGCGAGAGGCGUAAUUUAUAGCGAAAGUCAGUGAUUGAAUUAUUUUAACUCAGCCUAGAGUGGAGUGAGUGACUGAAGAAGUGUCUAUUUCGACCAAGAAAAUUAUGUCGGCUGCAGACAGCAUAGUUUUGAGGAGAAACAGGGGCGGUCUUCUAGACUUUCGCUUGAUUGGGUUGUGAGUGAUUGUGUUUUGUAUUU